rnacentral:rRNA from 1 species
UACGUAGGGGGGCUAGCGUUGUCCGGAAUCAUUGGGCGUAAAGAGCGCGUAGGCGGCCAGAUAAGUCCGGUGUGAAAGUCACAGGCUCAACCUGUGAAUGCCGCUGGAAACUGUCUGGCUAGAGUCCGGGAGGGGCGAGUGGAAUUCCUGGUGUAGCGGUGAAAUGCGCAGAUAUCAGGAGGAACACCGAUGGCGAAGGCAGGUCUCUGGGCAUUAACUGACGUGAGGAGCGAAAAGCAUGGGGGAG